AUUGAACGCUGGCGGCAGGCUUAACACAUGCAAGUCGAGCGGGGUGAUGGUGCUUGCACUAUCACUUAGCGGCGGACGGGUGAGUAAUGCUUGGGAAUCUGCCUAUUAGUGGAGGACAACAUCUCGAAAGGGAUGCUAAUACCGCAUACGUCCUACGGGAGAAAGCAGGGGAUCACUUGUGACCUUGCGCUAAUAGAUGAGCCUAAGUCGGAUUAGCUAGUUGGUGGGGUAAAGGCCUACCAAGGCGACGAUCUGUAGCGGGUCUGAGAGGAUGAUCCGCCACACUGGGACUGGGACACGGCCCAGACUCCUACGGGAGGCAGCAGUGGGGAAUAUUGGACAAUGGGGGGAACCCUGAUCCAGCCAUGCCGCGUGUGUGAAGAAGGCCUUAUGGUUGUAAAGCACUUUAAGCGAGGAGGAGGCUCUUUUGGUUAAUACCCAAGAUGAGUGGACGUUACUCGCAGAAUAAGCACCGGCUAACUCUGUGCCAGCAGCCGCGGUAA
rnacentral:rRNA from 1 species